GGUGAUUGGAUCAUGGAGGCAGUUUCUCAUGAAUGGUUUAGCACUAUCUCCUUGGUGCUAUUCUCACGAUAGUGAGUUCUCAUGAAAUCUGAUCAUUUAAAAGUGAGUAGAACCUCCCCCAUCUCUCUCUCUUGCUUCUGCUCCUGCCAUGUGAGACGCCUCACUCCCUCUUUGUCUUCUGCCAUGACUGGAAGAUUCCUGAGGCCUCCCUAGAAGCAGAAGCCACUGUGCUUCCUGUACAGCCUUCAGAACUGUUUUUGUUGUUGUUCUACAUGCAUUUUUGACAUGUUACGUAUUGGCAUCUCCUUCGGACCUGUUGCCAACCAACUGAAUCUAUUUCCAUCAACACUCAAGGCUGCAACAUGCAGAUGCAAUGCUCAUCUUUGCUCCUUUCUUGCUUCUCUGACACUUUCCUGAGUCUCAUGUAGCCCCAGCUGUGCCACAUUGUGUGUUCUUGCAUUGGGAAGUGGUGAUCUAGACCAACCUCACCAUUCCUCAGCAGCUUUCUUUAAAUCCCUGCCUUCCUUUCAUUUAUUCCGCUUUUUGUGCUUCUCCUGGGUUCUGCAUUGCUCACACCUGUUUCUCUCCUGCUGGGAACAUCUCAUUCUCCCCUCCACCCUGUCUCCAUCUUUGGUGGCAAGAUCCUCGCUGAUCCUGCGAGGCAGGCUGGGCCGGCACUGCUAGCUCAUUUGGCAGAGAAAGAAACCUGCAGACCUGGCAACUCUAUGAUUUGCUCAAGUUUUCAUAGCAAGUUAGUGUCUGUGACAUCUUAGAGGCCUGUUUCUGGCUUCUCAGCCCACUCUAGACUUGGUGUUAAAACAUCUGCCCAGAGUCACUAAGACCAUGGCUGAAAAAUCAAAAUCUCAGCUCUUAUAUGUAAAUAAACACAUUUAUAUAUGAGCAAAUAAACAAAUGUAGAAAUAAUAUCAUCGCUAGAUGCUAUGAAAAUAAAAGAUGGACAUGGGAUAGUGACAGGGUUGGAAAGCAUCUAUUUUACACAGGACGAUCAGGGAAAACCUCUUUUACAAAGUGAUAUUUGAGUUAUUAUUGGUAAUUAAUGAUUAUUAAUGUUAGAUUAUUACUAUUGAAGGCUUCUUUCCCAUGGUUAUUAUAGGAACACUAAAUUUGUUGGUGGCAGAAUUGGAAUCUGAGCACAAUUUUGCCACAAACUCAUACUACCUACAUAAUUAUAUUCUCAACACUCUGGGUGUACUUAAAUAUCCUUGGGUUGAGUCAUGAAAAUGGAACACUUUAGAGCAAUGUUAAGAUCUCUGAAAAGUAGGUAAAUCCUCAAGUGUGAGUACAGUUUGAUACAAUGAUCCUAAAGGGGGAAGAUUAGGGCAGGGAGAUGAGUAUAGAUCUUUAUGACCAACUAAUUUUUUCCUGUUAGAAUGCCUAACAUUGAUUCACCACUCUAAAUGAAAACAGUCAUCCCUGGUUUCUGAAAUGAGUAUGAGUUGCAGGUGGUUACUCACUGGUAUAUGGUUAAUGUAAAUUCCAUGCAAAUAGUUUUUUUUUUUUUUGCUUGAUGCUGCAUUGGUUAAUGUCUAAAUGCCUAUCUCCCAA
rnacentral:lncRNA from 10 species